rnacentral:rRNA from 1 species
AUUGAACGCUGGCGGCAGGCCUAACACAUGCAAGUCGAGCGGAGCGGCGGACGGGUGAGUAAUGCCUAGGAAUCUGCCUGGUAGCGGGGGAUAACGUCCGGAAACGGGCGCUAAUACUGCAUACUAUCAGAUGAGCCUAGGUCGGAUUGGCUAGUUGGUGGGGUAAAGGCCUACCAAGGCGAUGAUCCGUAGCUGGUCUGAGAGGAUGAUCAGUCACACUGGACCUGGGACGCGGUCCAGACUCCUACGGGAGACAGCAUUGAGGAAUAUUGGACAAGGGGCAGGAGCCUGUUCCCGCCAUGCCGCGUGUGUGAAGAGGAUCUUCGGAUUGUAAAGCACUUUAAGUUGGGAAGCGUUACCAACAGAAUAAGCACCGGCUAACUUCGUGCCAGCAGCCGCGGUAAUAC